ACUAAUUGAAAUUCUACCAGCCAUGGCCUCUUACUGCUGCACCAGUUUUGCUUUAAUCAUUGCUAUUUCCUUUUCAACCAUGGACAUAGCAUUACCAGCACGAGCAAUUCGGCUACCUGGAUUAACUUUACCUGAAUUACCACCUCUACCUUCAGUCACAUUGCCAACUCUACCUCCAGUCUCAUUGCCACAUCUAAGAGUACCACCUCUACCUUCAGUCACAUUGCCAACUCUACCUCCAGUCUCAUUGCCACCUCUAAGAGUACCACCUCUACCUUCAGUCACAUUGCCAACUCUACCUCCAGUCUCAUUGCCACCUCUAAGAGUACCACCUCUACCUUCAGUCACAUUGCCAACUCUACCUCCAGUCUCAUUGCCACCUCUAAGAGUACCACCUCUACCUUCAGUCACAUUGCCAACUCUACCUCCAGUCUCAUUGCCACCUCUACCUCCAGUCACAUUGCCACCUCUUCCACCUGUUCCAGGUUUGCCAUCUCUACCACCGGUUUUGCCAUCUCUACCACCUCUUCCAGUUUUGCCACCUCUUUCUUAAGGGCAUAGCCAUCUUCGCGCACUCUUCCUAAUAUCCAACCACUUUACAUCCCAUUCCUUUCUCCACCACCUUCAACCAACAUUCUACUUUGGAUUUGGAUUUAGGGUUCCUGUCAUUCUGCAUGCUUUCAGUCAAGUUUAAUAAGUGAUUUUAUAAUGAUCACAUAAAUUAUGUAACUUGUGUGUUGUCUGUUUUCUGUUGUUGGAGACAGUUUUUCUUUUUUAGUGUUCCAUUUCCUUUUCGCCUUUGAAUACUUGUAUUUCUGUUGCACUUCUGCAUUACUCUAUGUAGUGUAUGUGCCUAGAGUCGAUAGACUCAUUACCAUAGAAUGAAUCUAUUUUAUCAUAAAUUUUUCUUUCUUCUUCUCUUUCCCACAAUAUCAUGUGUAUAGCUAAUUCUUAAUACCCUAACUUCGUAAAGUGUUAUAGUUAAAAUUGAAUCGGACUGUUAUAUCAGAUGUUAUUUGUAUAUAUUAACGAAGAAACGGAAGCUUGGAUUUCUAAGAAAAAUGUAGAAAAAGUGUCUCGGUGAUGAAUAAAGAAAGACAAGGAACGCUAAUUGGACAUUAAUACAAAACUAACUACUUUUCAAAGAGGAAAUAUACCAUAAUCGGUUUAUAAUAAUAACAAUAAUACUUUAAAUAAUAAUAAUAAUAAUAUAUAAAAUAAAAAUUAUGUUAUUAUAAUAUAAUAAUAAUAAAAUAUUACUAACAUAAAUAAUAAACCUAAACUUAUAAAAUAAUAAUAAUAUAAAAAUAACAAUUACAAUAAUAAAAAUAAUGAAAUUAUAAAAUAAUAAUAAAUAAAAUAAUCAAAAUAAUUUUAUAAAAUUAUAAUAAUAAUAUUAACAAUAUCGAAUUAAUUUUAAUUUUAAUUUUUUGAAUAUUUUUAAUACAUUUUUAGAUGUAUUAUGUUAAUUUCACUAAAAAAAAUCAAUAUUAUCUACAGAUUUUUACCCACGGAUCUACAAGUUGGCACGACUUCAGUAUGACAGGGUAGAAGUCGUACCAAGUUGGCACGACUUUAGUAUGACAUAGCAGAAGUCGUGCCUAAUUGGGACGACUUCUGCAUAUAAAGUCGUGUUAAUUAGGUACGACUUGCUUAAAUUUGUAAUUUUUUUUAAACGAACCCCAUUUUGGUAAAAAAAAAAAAAACUUUAUCAUAGUCAAAAAAAUCACUUUUUAAAGAGGAAAUAUACCAUAAUCGAUUUAUAAUAAUAAUAAUAAUAACAAUAAUAUUUUAAAUAAUAAUAAUAAUAUAUAAAAUAGAAAUUAUGUUAUUAUAAUAUAAUAAUAAUAAUAAUAAUAAUAAAAUAUUACUAACAUAAAUAAUAAACCUAAACUUAUAAAAUAAUAAUAAUCAAAAUAAAUUAUAUAAAAAUAAUAAUUACAAUAAUAAAAAAUAAUGAAAUUAUAAAAUAAUAAUUAUAAAAGUAAUAAUAACAAAAAUAAUCAUAACAAUAAUCAAAAUAAAUUUAUAAAUUUAUAAUAAUAAUAUUAACAAUAUCAAUUUUUUUAUAUUUUUUUAUGAAAUUUUUAAUACAUUUUUAGAUGUAUUAUGUUAAGAUAAUUUGUAGUUUUUCUUUUUCAGUUGGGUUCGUGAAUUGUAAGAGAAUACUGCUUUAAUCAAGUCAUCCUAAUUUUAUUUUGCGCUUGAUUAUUUAAUUGAAUUCUCUUCUUCCACCGUAUUUUAUAUUGUACGGUUCUACGUUUAAUGUUGAUUAGGCGUUGAAUUUUACACUAUUUUUGUUUUAUUUUAUUAAGUUUUACAAAUUUAUAACUAUUUCUACUUAAAUCUUUUAUAACUAUUUCUAUUUAAAUUUUAUUUAAUUUUAUCAAAAUUCAUUUUCAAUAUUUUUGCAUAUAUCAACAAAUUUAUUUUAUUAAUUAGUUCAUGAACUGUUACAAUAAUAAUGUUUUAAUGAGAUGAAGUUUCAUAUACAAAUAAAUAAUCAUAUUUCGUUCUAAAUUAUGUUUAACCACAAGCACUACGAAAAAAACAUGUAAAUUGUAGCUAUUUUAAUAUGAUUAUUAAAAAACGCCUCAAUUAUCAUUAUAAUACGAAGUUAACAAGGGUCACAUUUUUCCUUUAAAAUAUGUCAUUUACAAUCGUUAUUUUAUGAUAGUAGACUAUUCUUCCACAUUUUUGUUCCUUCCACAGAUCUGAGUCCGUAGGCAAAUUCAGGAUUAUUUACAGAUAUUACUUACGAACAACAUUACCUACAAACAUAUUGAAGGACAAUUGGAAGACCCGGGGCUGCCACGGGAUCCACAUGAGCAAGCGCUACGCUUCUUGUGACCCACAGAUUCUGAAUCCGUAGGUAAAUUCAGCAUUACCUACUAACUAUUACUCAUGGAUCUUAUUACCUACCAUUUUUACCUCUAUUACAUACCAACAAUUAUCAUAAUAAUUAUAUACAUAAUAUUAAAAAUAUUAAUAGAAUAUGAAGAAUUAUAAAAUCAUAAUUAAUAUUCAUAAAUAAUAAUAACCAUAACUAAUUUAUACAUAUUAUUAAUAUUAUAAAAUUAAUAAUAUUAAUAUAAUAAUUUAAAUAAUAAAAUUAGUAUUAUAUUAAUAAUAUGAAUAAUAAUAAUAAUAAUAAUAAUAUUAAUGAUAUUAGUAAUAUAACAAAAUUAAUAAUAUGAGUAAUAAUAACAUUAAUAAUAUAAAUACUAUUAAUAAAAAUAUUUCUAAAAUUAACAUUAUUUGUAAUAUUAAUAAUAUUAACACUAUUUAUAAUAUUUAAAAAUAUUAAUAAUAUUAAUAAAUAUUUAAUAAUAUUAAUAAUACAUUUUUAAUAUUAUUUAAUUUAUAUUUAUAAUUUCAUACUCAACCUUCCCCUUUUUUUAAAAAAAAAUUAUUAAAAAGGUAGUACUUUAAGUAAGCUCCCGCCCAGCCACCAUUUUUUGCUUAAAAUAUUUUUGUAAAGAUGUAAAAAUGAAAUUUGUUGACAUGAAAUGUGUGGCUUUGGGUAAUUAGGACCAAAAUCAAAACUAAUAAUUAAUUAACAAUAAUAAUGCUGGUUUCAUUCCCACUCACCACGGCAAUGUUGGAUUGUCAAACGCGUAGUAAACAAUAACAAUAAGUAAUAAAUUACUCUGUCGUUUUAUUUGGUAAAAAUACCCAACCAGUGCGUUAAACACAAUGGUCCAAAUAGGGCAAUAACUUUCUGUUUAAUGAAGGCUAAGUCCACUUAAAAAAGUAAAUCGCAAAAGGAUCACACUAACCUAUAAGCUAUAUGCUAUAUAUAAUAAUAAAAAAUUAAGAAUCAUUGAAUAAAAAAAGUGUAUGAAAAGAACAUUUUUUAUUCACCUGUUAAUUUCAUCUAUUGAAUAUAUAGUGCAUUUUCUUUCUAUAUCACUUUUUUGUAAAAUAAUUAAAAUAUUUUGUGAAUUCGUAUUUUAAAAUUACAUAAAAAUAAAAUCUAACGUAAUAUAUUUAAUAGUUUUAACAUCUACAAUAAUAGAAAAAAGACAUUUAAAAUUACAUAUAUGCAAUCUUUAUGAGUAGAGUUUGGGUUGAGUUUUAUGAAACUCGAAAUUUGAUCAUUAAAAUAGUUUGAAUUAGUUUUGAAUGAAUCUAGGUUGUUGUUUUUUUUUACUAAAUUCCAAUCAAAACCAAAAUCAUCAUAAAUAGUUGGGUUGAAUUUAGUAAAUCGGUAUACAAAUCAAUAAAUGAUCAUUAUUAUUUUUACCUUAUUUUUUCUUACAAAAUUAACUUUUAUUAAUUUCUGCUCCUUACCUUUAUCCCCCAAAAAAGUGUAUUACUAAAUAUUACGACUUUUCUCUAUGUUUUUAAAUUUUUACACUUUUAUUCCAAAAAAAAUUCUUUUAAUUAUUUCAUUUAAAAUUAUUAAUAUUUUACUUCUUCUUUUUCUAAUUUUUCUUCUUUAAUUAUUUUUUAAAUUAAAAAUAAAAUAAGUACAAAACCUAAUUCGGAAUUCAGUUUCCAUAAAACAUUUCAGCUGGUACUCUAGUGACCAUGCAUCCCAUCCAAUGUCAGAAUUCAACUUCCCAUACUUAAAAAAUUCUAAUGCUUUGUUUGAAUCAUACAUUGGUUUCAGAGAGAUUAAAAUAAUAGACUUCAGAGAAAAAAAUUGUGUAGGAUGAGUAGAAAAAAUUCUCAUAAUAUAUAAAAAAAAAAAAUAAAGGAAGUAUAACAAUAUGUAAUUCAAAAUAGAUAGUAAAAUACACCUAAGUUUAUUAAAAUCAAUAUAAAAAAGUUCAAUUCUCACUCACUUACACUCUGUUUUUUCUACAAAAUUAAUGUAAAUGCGAAUGAUAAAUGUAUUUGUAUCACCGCAGAUUUAAGAGCGUAGAAAUACAAAUAAACAAAAUUUCAUUCCUAACCUACAUAGGAAGAAAACCAAUAAAACUACGUAUAUCAACCAAAUUUACUCUAUUACCUUUUUUAUUUAAACUCAAAUAUAUUUAAACUGAAAUUACAAUCUAAAUAUAAAAGAGUAUAAAAUAAUUAAUUAUUAAAAAAUAAAAUAAUUAAUUAUAUUAUAUUAUAUAUAAAAUCACUACAAGAAAAAAAGUCUUAAAGAAAAUUAUUUAAUAGAAAUUAAUAUAAUUCUAGAUAUUGAUUUAAUUAAUCGAAGUUUUUUCAACAUUCAUUAAAUUUCAAAAAUUUAUUUUAAAAUUUUGGUGGAGAUUUUUUCCACCAUCAUUAAAUUUCAAAGAUUUAUUUUAAAACUUCAAAAAAAAUAAAAGAGGUUUUUUUAACCUUAAUUAAAUAUCAAAAAAUUAUUUUAAAAUCUUAACAAACUAAUUAAUAAUUUUUCUUAAAUUUUAAAAGUUUAUUCUAAAACUUCAAGAAAAUAAUUGAGAUUCUUUUCUAACAUUCAUUAAGUUUCAAAAAUUUAUGAUAAAAAAUUAAUAAAAUAUUUAUAUUUUUUAUUUAGAAGUUCUAAAAUUUAUGGUAUUUUAUGGAAAUCUUUAAACUCAUAAUAUUUAUGGUAGGUUUUGAAAGACCUUGAGAUUUAAAAAAAACUCUGAAUAACACGUUCUCCAAAGAUAAUUUAAUAAAGAAAACUACAACUAUAAAUAAAUAACUUAACAAAAAUUUUAAACCUUAAUAAUAUAAAAAUAAAUCUCCGAUAAAAUCACUUUUCUUAUAUUAUAUACUAUAUUAUAAUACGUAAUCAAUAAUAUAUAUAAUUAAUGAUUAGUCAUUAUAAUAUAACAUAUAUAAUCGAUAUAUAUAUAUUAUUGAUGAUGAAUUAUAAUAUAACGUAUAAUUAAUUUUAUAUAAUUAAAUAUAAUAUAAUAUAAUAAUAUUUAAAAAUUAUAAAUAUUAAAUUAAAUUUAUGUUAUAAAAAUAUAUAAUAAUUAUUUAUUAAAAUAAUAAAAUUCUAAUUAAAAAUAAUAAUAGUAAUAUAUAUUUUUAUAAUAAAAAAAUAAUUUUCUAUAAUAAUUAUGUUAAUUAUAAAAAAUAAAGAUAAAAAUAUUAGUUAUUUAAUAUAAAAAUAAUUUUGUAUCAAAUAUUUAAAUAUUAUUUAUCAAAUUUUACAUAAUUUAAAUUUUUUCUGGAAUUAUUUUUAAUCUAGUAUAAGAAAUAAUGUUUCAUUAAAAAUAAUAUUUUAAUUAAAAAGAAUUAUAAUUUACAGAUAAAUGAAUUAAAUUAAUUUUUCAAUUGUAACAUUAAUCAUAAAUUUUUAUAAUUUUUUAUAAUUUUUCUCUCACUUACUUCACAAUAAUCAUCUCAAAUUUAGUAUCUAGUCUAAAGAAAACAUGGGUGAUUUUUCUUUUCUAUGUUCAAUUGGUUUCACUGCCCAUGAUAUUUAUAGGCACAUCUGUAAUCAUUACUUGAUCCGUUUUGAAUUGGUUUACUGUGCAAUUUGGCCUUCAUUUCAGUAUUUGGUUUCUUAUAGAUUAGGUGCAUUAAAGAUUGGACACUAGAGAUAAGACCCGCUCACUUCUACAAUCCGCUCAUUCGUGUAAGUCCGCCUCCCAUAAGAUUAUGUAUCCCUCACAGAACCCACAUAAUAUUUUUUUAUUAUUUUUUUAUGAUUUUUCAAAAUUUUUAAGCAGUUUCAUUUUUUUUUUAAAAUUAUUUAUUCUAAGUUCUGAAUAUAAAUUUGUAUUUUAAAUUAUAUAAUCUAAAUAUGGUAUAAUUCAAAACAUAAAUUUUAAUUUUUAAAUUCUAUAGAUUUAGAAUUUUCUGAAUUUCAUAUUCUCGAACUAAAGAAAAACAUUCCAAAAUUUUAAUUCAUAUCUCAUUAUUAUACAUAUAUAAUGAUAAUAAUACUAUGAGGUCAUUUACCUAAUUCAUCUAAAUAAGAAAAAAAUUAAAUUUAUUCAAAAUUUGUUUUUUAUUAGUUUAAAAAAUAUAUAUAUUUUAUGUCGGCUUACCUGCAAGCCAACCCUUAUGCAAGACGGGUCAAUAAAAUCAACUUACAUUUUUUAUGCUAGAUAGAUCAGCCUGCAUUCUCAUCCCUAACUGAAUCCAACACCCCAAUAUACCAUUUUUACCUUCAAGUAAAAUACACAUAUUAUAUUUCGUUACAUUCUAAAACCAACCCACAAUUAGGUAUGACAAAGUGAGGCAGGCCAACCAGCGACCCACUGAGAAAAAACAUGGAACAGACGGCCUAUUCCAACCUGUUGGCCCACUUAGGUGCGCUCCACAUAACCUGUAACCUGUGUGGGCCAAAUACGCAUGCGGGUUGGUUCGCAUAUCUUAAAAAUCUAAAAAUUUCUUUAUGCAGCUCCAUAAUUUCAUCAUGCAGCCUUAUAUUUUAAAAAAUCUAAAAUUAUCUAUCACAAAUUCUUCAAUCUGGAAUACAAAUUGUGUAGUCUGUAAUAUUGUACAAUUCGAAACACAAAUUUUAACUUCUAACAGAUUCUAUAACCUAGAAGUCUUUGAAUUCCAAAGAAAAAAUAUUCCAAAAUUUUUAUUUAUAUUUUAUUACACAUAUAUCGUGGGAAUAAUAUUAUAAGAUCAUUUAACUAAUUCAUUUAAAUAAAUAAAAAAUUAAAUUUAUUCAAAAAUAUAUAUAUAUAUUUUUUCAUUAUAUAUUAUGCGGAUUGAUCCGCGAGCCAACUCUUGUAGAAGAUGGGCUAAUAAAAUCAAUUCGCAUUUUCAGCACGGACAAACCAACUCAAACCACAUUUUACAAAUCAAAUGCAACUAAGGCUUCUUCUUCUUGCACCCCUACAUUUUUCUUCCUGCACUCCCACAAUUUUGUGUAUUCCGAAAUUGGCCUUGACCUUUUAUUUAAAAUAAGGGCACUGUGAAAUCGAGAUUUGGGAGUUUGCACAGAUUCAUCAAUCCGGAAUUGAAUCAUUUUGUUUUCCGGAUGAGGGUGUGCUCUGGAAGCAAAUUCUGCAUAAAUUGUUGAUUUAUGAAUUGUUGAAUCUGGAAGCCUGAUUUCUAUUAUAGAAUGUUUGUUUUGAAUUAUGAAUUUCUGAAUGCGGAAUACAUAUUUCUGUUAUGGAUUGGUAUAUCUGGAAUGUUUUUUUUUAAUUAUGGAUUUCUGAAUCUCGAAUGCAUAUUUUGAAUUACAAAUUGCUGGAUCCAAAAUUUUACCAGAAGCGUCACUCUGAAAAUUUUUCAGAUUUCAUAAUCCGGAAUGCAAAAAAAUAAAUAUGGAUUCUUUAUUCCAUAAAACUAUCGGAGUGUGUUGUCCGGAUAAUACGUAUGAACUACGGAAAGGAAAAUCCAAAGAAAAAAGGAACUGCAGAUCCAAAAGAAACAAAAAAUUUACUUACCUUCAAGAGAAACUACCUUUCUCCCACCAAGUUUUCAAGACACCACCCUGAACCACCAAUAGAAAUGCAAGAUGGAACGGUGCCGCUAAGUGAGGAAUGAAGUCCGUGGAGAGGCAAUGGAGUCCGUGGAAAGACAAUGGAGUCCACUCUGAGAGAGAAAUGGAACAACGCUGCGGAGAGGCAAACAAAAAAAAAAUAGUUUAAAUUUAAGUGUAUUUUAAGAUUUUUAAAAAAUAAUAAAUUUACAUAAUAUUAUCGAAGUAUAGGACGAAAAAUGUAGGAGUGUAGGAAGGACAACCCACAUUGACAACUUUACCAAAUUACAUUAAUUCAAAUGUAAUUAUCACCUCUCAAAUUAUUUCACACACACUGUAUUAGCACAUAAAAACAAGUCCUUAAAAUCCUUAAAUUUAUGGACCAACUUAUGUAAUAAAAUAAUAAUUUUAUUUUAAAAAAUUUAAAAGUAAUUUAUUUUUAUAAAAUAAAUAUGUAUAUUAUAAUUUAUAUAUCAAUUUAUUAUUUUAAAACUAAAAUUAAUUCAUUGAUAUAAUUUGAUAUUUAAAACUAUAUUCUUCGUUUUAAAAUUAAAGUUUAGUUUUUUAAUGUAGAACGAUAUAGUAAAAUAUCAUCAUUACUUAAAAUCUAGACUGACGUGACACUUAGACUCAACAACAUCUUUUGUUUUCUUUUUGUUUGUAUGGGUUGAAAAACAUAUUUGAAAGAAUGAAAAUAAAAUUAUUUAUAUUAAAGAAAAAAAUAUAAUAAAAAUAAAUGAAAUGUUUAUAAAUAAUUUGAUUGAUGUAAUAGAAUAAAAUAAUUUAAUAUAAGAAAUAACUUUAAAAAUAUAAAUUAGAAUUAAAAUAAAUUCUAAAAAAACCAUAAUAAAAUUUUAAUGAAAAAUAAUUUUAAAAUUAAAAUUAAAAUAUUUUCACUAAAUAUCAAAAUUUAAAUUAUUAAAAAAUAUAUAUAAAUAUUUAUAAUUAAUGAAAAAUUAUAUAUAUCAAAACACAAUUAAUAUGUGUGCUUCUCACAUCACAGCUCCAAUAUAGCAUUGAAAAUUAUUAAAAGUUAAAUACAAUUGAUUAUGUUUUAAACAUAACAUCUUUUUCGUUUUUUUUUUAUAUUUUAUUCCUUAUUUUCAAAGUUUCCUAGUAAUCUCUCUAUUUUAUCUUUGAUAUUGCGCCUCUCUGAUCCAAGUAAAGGUAAGUGACCAAGAGAGUUUUGCUGUCUUCAGAUCGAUAAUCAGCUCUAAAUUGAAGAAUAAUGUGUAUUUAUGGUCUUUUGCAGCAAUUAUCGUUAUUUUGUAUUCAAUGACUUGGCUACUGCCGUAAGAUCACUGCCAAAUAAUAUUGAUUACACAUGAAGUCAAGCCUUCGGCGCAAACAUAAAACUACGGGGAAAAUGCAGACAUCACCAUAACAACCUAAUAAAGGAAGACCAUUCUUCCAAUUUCGUUAAGCACCUCUCUUAUCCUUCUUAAUCACUAUUGAUAUAGACAACUCCUGAUGUCUGGAAUGGUAAAAGAAAGUAUAACUUUGUUAUGAACUUAUGAUCACAUUAACAGUUGAGAUGAAGAAAACUACUCUUAAUGGAACCAAAUGUAAGCUUUGGAAAGAGAGAUGCCAUGUUGGGCUCGACCAAAUUACAGUAAGUUAGAACUUUGAAAAUGCUGAAUCAGGUAAACAAAGUCUAUUUUUCAAAUCACGAGUGGCAAGAAAUUACAUGAGUAGUUAACAGUAACAGGUAUCAUCGCAUCCCACAAUUUUUUAUUUAAAACAACACAUUAUGAUGUUUUUAAACCUGGAUAAAACAUAGUAUAAUAGGAAUGUGAUGAAAGGAAAAGAAUGUAACACAUGUGGCCUCAACUUAAACUCCAGGAUAAAUGUUUCUUCAGAAUUACAUCCUCUCACAACAUAUUUCAUUGUCACAACAAUUGAACACAGUAAACUAAAAGAAACAAGUCAAAUAACUAACAAGGGGAAUAUUCACCCAAAAAUAUUUUUCCUUGCAAAACCAGAGAGCUAAGCAAAACAACACGGUUGAAGAAAACAACAGCACAAAAAACAAAACAAACAAAAUUUAAACAGACACAUUUAAAAUGGAUUAAAAGUUUCUUUACAUACAAGUUAAUCGCAAAAAAAUGGCGUUAGGCACCAACAGAUAAUACUUAUAUUAUGCAUUAUGGUUUUCAAACACAGUCUGGAGUCAAAAACUAAGGGAAAGUCCAGAGCAAACUCUCCCAUGCUUUAGUAAUAAGUAUGUGUACAUGAUCAAAACAUUAAUGAACUAUUAUAUAUAUUAUACAACAACAAUCUACAGAAAAAUGAAGUAAUCCUCCUCAAAUAAUUCAAAAACUAAAGCAGAGACAUUGCCGCAAAUUAUUACAUAAUUUAGCAAUACAAGAAUUCACAAUAGCUCAGCAUCAUUUUUUGCAUCUGGUACAAACAUAAAAGUAACAGCAUCUAAAUUCUACAACAACAGGAAAAAAAUGCAUCUACAAGACUAGUGACCCUUAACCUUAUCAUCUGCCACAACAUUGAGAAUGGGCAAGCUACUGAGGAACUCAUCAAGGCCUUCAAAAAACCCAAUCCCUUCAAUAUUAUCCUCAGCAUGUCCAGCAGCAUUCCCUUCGCGAUCGCGCACUCCACGGGAAGGCUCCUCCACCUCAUUGCUGAACUCCACAUUCAAAUCCAACUUCCCCAAGUUUCCAGCACCCCUCCUCCUCGAACCACCUAACGCAGCCUUCUUACUAGACUCUGCCCUCGCACCAGACGGCAAAGCAGAGCCAGCAUUAGCUUUGGCACUAGCAUUAGCAUUAGCAUUAGCUUUGGCAUUAGCAUUGGCACUAGCAGCUGUAACAGGAUUAGCGGAACCCACAUUCUCAUGCUCUGUAUGGACACCCCUCCCAGGUCUCUCCACUGUUUCCCUCCUUGCAUCACCAGAAUUUUUAUUAACUCUAGUCCUCUUCUUCCCCCUCCUCUUCCCAACCCUCCAGUCUCCAUCACCGGAAUCAUCGUCACUGGGGUCGGAUAAGUCGAUAAACGCGGCGGCAGCCUCGUCAUCAUAGUAAGCCCAAUUCUUCUUAGGCUUGCUAUAGGACGGCCCAUUCGAAGGGCAAGGAAACAAAGGGGAAAACGGGUUCCAAUUGGAGGAUAACCCGUUCACGUCCUUCGAAUUCCCAGAAAAUCCCAACGGGAAAAACCCCCAACUACAAUAGGAACCGUCUUUCCCAGUCAACGGCGGUGGCGACCGUAUCACCACCGCAUGAAACCCCCUCCGACAACUCUGACACCUCAAGGUACACUCCUCGUACCCCUUCGGGUAUUCAUACAAAACGUAACAGUAAGGGCACGAGGUCCAGAAACUCGUUACCCCGUCGUUUCCGAUGGUUCGAGUAGACUCAGCGGACUCGGGACGAUUGGAGUUCGGCCGAGUCGCCUCGGCCGAGUUAGCCCUCGAUCUAGGGUUUCGCCUGGACGUGGGUUGGGAAUGUACAGGAGGAGGAGGACGCGGCGGGGACUGCGGCGGUGGAGUGGUGAGCAGCCGGAGAUCGCUGUCGUACAUGGCUUUCUUGGCUGGGUUGGAAAGUACAGACCAGGCGUCGUUGACAAGGGAAAAGGCGUGGUUGGCGAAGGCGAAGAGGUUGCGGCUGGGAUCGAGGAGGUGGGCGAGGCGGCGGUACUGAGAGGCAACGUGGUCCAUGUUGGUGGUGUAGCGGAGGAUUUGGAGGAUCCCGUACCAGUCACGGUGGUCGUUGAUUCGCGACUCUCCCGCCAGGAGCGUGUCGAUCACGGUCAGGAGGUGCUCGGAGGCCUCGUAAGUCGGGUCGGACUCUCGCGCUCGGAUCGCGAAGGAGCGCGCCCCGUGAAGGUCGCGUGCGCUAAGCAGCUUGUUGGCGGUGUAGAGCCACCGCUCCGCCUCCGCUCGGUUUCCUCCGCCGUCCAUGGUGGCUCUGACUCUUGAAAUCGGACAAGAAAGGACAGUGGAGUAAGAUAUUCACAGUGUGGGGGACGAGGGCACUCUCGUCAUAUCAUACCGUAAUAACUGAAAUCGAAUGAUAUGAUACCACAUGAAUGUGGCUGGCCCAAUCAAUGUUUCUAUUUUAACCCCUUUUUCUAUUAUUUUUAUUCUGCUCUUCACUCCAUCAUAGUUUAGUAUGCUCUCACUUUAUUUGAUGAGGUGUUGGAUUUGUAUGGCUAGUUUAAUCCUCUAGACCCACAAGUAACCAUUUCAUUGGUUAAUCUAAUCAUGCUAACUAAAAGAGAGAGAGCAUAAUCAAUGGUCACAAUUUCUCCUGCAGACAAACUUGUACUUUUGUUAUAAUGCCACCAAAAUAAGAAGACUCUCAGUAAUACAAAUAUACAAGGUUCAGCUCAGUGCAAUAAAAACUUACCAAGAUUAUAAAUAUCUUUUUAAAACCGCGAUUUGUAAAAAUCCAAAAAUAAACUGAAAAUAGCUUUCUUCUAUAAGCUACUUAAAUAGUUAAUUAAAAUAAGUUAAAAUGAAAACUAUUUCCAAAACAGGAUUAGAGAAUCAUAUUUUUUCAUGACAGUUAAGUAUCAAUAAAAGCAUCUAGCUAAUUUAUGAAAACUAAAAGUUGGUCCAUGUGAAUCCACAUCUACACCCAUUCAUAUUUUGAAGGAAAUUAUCUACACAGAAUCAUAAAAUAAUAUAUUAAAUUAAAUAAUAUUUAGAAAACAUGUUAAGAGUAUGAACUUAGCGCUAUGGAAAAAUAUGGAAUUCAAUGCCCAGUUGAGACGGGCUCAAAUAUUUGGAAAAAAAUAAAAUCAAUUUUACUAACUGUAAGAUACUGAAGACGUUUUAUUCCAGCAUUUCAUAUUUUCAAAAUUUUUGAAAAUAUUGAUUAUGUAUUCUACAAUCCAAAAUAUAAAUUUAUAUUAUAAAUUUUAUAUUAUACAAUGUAUUUUUAUUUUAUUUUACAAUGUAUAACUCAAAAUAUAAAAAUCUUAUAUUGCAAAUAUACAAUUUAAAAUAUAAAAAUCACAAAUUUUAACUUUUAAAUUUUAAAUUUUAUAAUUGAAGAUAUCUACGAAUUUCACAUUAUAAAAUUAAUAAACAUUUAAUAAAAAAAUUAAAAGAUAAUUUGAAUAUUUUCAAAGUAAAGGGUGCAGAAAGAAACGCAUGAAGGUGCAUAAUGAAAUUGCCCAUUAAGAAGUCCAAGUUUUGGGUCUUCUUCAUCCAAAAAACUGUUUAAUUUCAAAGUCCGCUUUUACUAUUGUAGAUGGACUGAGAACAAAAACAUUUAUUUAGUGAUUUAUAUUCUCACCCUCCUUUUAUCUUAUAAUUCGCAUUUUAUUUUAGUUUUAAAAAGACCAAAAUACCUUACAUUUCCCUCUUCUUUGAAAUUCUUCCCCUAUUACUUUCUCUUUUCUCUUAUAGUCUGUUUGUUUCUCCAAUAAUACUAAUAAUAUUAAUAGUAUUAAUAAUAUUAUUAAUAUUGUUAAUAAUAUUAAUAUUAUUAUAAAUGAUAUUAAUAUUGUUAUUAUAAUUAUUAUUAAUAUUUUAAAGUAAAACUUAGGUCUUAUAUUUUUGUUGGAAUUUUUUUAUGGUCACUCAAUCAUUCACAAGUAAACUAUAAUGGUUUAAUAAUCCAAGAUUUUUCUCAAAUAUGUAUAAAAAUAUUUCAUGCUUUAAAAAAAAUACACGGAAAUAUUAAAAGAUAAAGGUUAGAUUUGAUUGAAUAAAAGUGAGGAAAAUUAGAAAAUCAACAAAAGAUGUGGUAUAAUUAGCUUACGAGUUAUAAACAACGUGAAAAGUGAAAAUAAAAUUAUGUUGUACAUAUAAUUUAUUAUUGUGUUUCGCAUCUCAUAGAAAUAAUACUACUAUAGAAAUAUUUUAUUUCCAUUUUUCUCAACCAAACUAUUAUUAUUUGGAAUGUUUUUUCCCUUUAAACUAUUAAAAAUGCACUUGUCCGUUUUUAGGUUGGGGAACGAUUAUAACUUGGGUGACUGUUCACUUUGUAAGUGAGUCGUUAUUUGGCAUUAAUGACCAUCACAAGUGAAACGGCCUAAUCAAUGAGUCUUAGAUGAUGAUGGGCUAUUUAUGGAGUAAUGAAUAAUAGUUAUAUGCCUAAUCUAAAUGACUGAUAACUAUCCACUAGAAGGAUAUCACCUGAUUAUCCCAUGAAUAUCCAAUCUCUUACUGUUAAGAACUUACUCUUAUUGACUUAAACAUUGGAAAAUCAUUUACAUGUGAACUUCUCCCUUUUCAUUAAAGACUUGUUAAGGGUACCCAUACUUAACCUUAUGUAUAUUCUCUAUGGUACCAUGUGUAUAUAUAGCUCCUCUGUUAACACAAUAAUACACAUAAGUUUUAUAUCAAACAUUUUCUCUUCUCUCUCAUCCUCAUCACAUGGUAUAGUGAGCUAGAAAGUUUUUUUCUCCGUUUUUCUUUCAUGGCUUCCACUGCUUCCUCUACACCAUCAUCUUCUUCCACCUAGGCUCUCUCCACCAAGAGCUCCUCCUCUGUCUCUCUGCAUCACUUUACUACUCCUAUUCUGCUCAAACUAGAUGAUGAAAAUUUUAUGUUGUGGAAACAACAGGUUCUUGCCACUGUUGAUGGUUUGUUGCUUUCUUAGUUUCUUGACGGGACUGACGUUCCUCAUCGUUGCCUUUCUGCUGCCGAUGGCACUGUCAGUGACAAUCCUUUUGUCAUCUCUUACAAGCAAUAAGAUGAUUUGGUGGUUGCAUGGCUUCUGGCGUCCAUGACCACUCCGAUUUUAACCCAAAUGGUGGGUUUUAGCUUUGCAGUGCAGAUCUGACAUACGUUACACACGUAUUUUUCUUCUCAUACUCGAGCCCAGAUAAAGAAAUUGAAACUUCUUUUAAAGAAUCCAAAGAAAGAUCGUUCGAUCUCCACAUACGUUUUGGAUAUUAAACCCACGGUGGAUGCGUUGGCUGCUGUAAGCACUCCUAUAUCUGUUGAGGAUCAUAUCAAAACCAUCCUUGAUGGUCUUCCUCCUAAUUUUGAUCAUUUUGUUGCCUCCAUUUUGUCUAUAAUCAAUCCUUAUAAAGUUGCAGAGAUCAAAACUCUUCUUGUGCAAAAAGAACGUCUUGAACGUCAUCAUCAACUCUAUCCUCUCUACUUUCCUGCAACUGUCACUCUCACAUCUUGGACUCCUUCGAAUCCCACCAAUGACAAAGUCAAUCCCAAGUUCCAUGGUACUCGUGGUGGUUGUGGGAUUUCUCGCUCACAAAAUUUCUCCCAUGGUUCUUGCAUCUCCCGUUCCCAAAUCCAUGGUUCUUGGAAUUCUUCCAAACCAACGUGUCAAGUUUGCGCGAAAAAUAUGGUCAUGCUGCUCUCCAAUGUUGGCAAUGGUAUGACCAUAAAUCCAA
rnacentral:lncRNA from 1 species